rnacentral:rRNA from 1 species
GACGAACGCUGGCGGCGUGCCUAAUACAUGCAAGUCGAGCGGAAGUUGGAGAGCUUGCUCUUCAACUUUAGCGGCGGACGGGUGAGUAACACGUGGGCAACCUGCCCUGCAGAUCGGGAUAACUCCGGGAAACCGGUGCUAAUACCGAAUAGUUUUCGCCACCUCCUGGUGGCGUACGGAAAGACGGUUUCGGCUGUCACUGCAGGAUGGGCCCGCGGCGCAGUAGCUAGUUGGUGGGGUAACGGCCCACCAAGGAAACGAUGCGUAGCCGACCUGAGAGGGUGAUCGGCCACACUGGGACUGAGACACGGCCCAGGCUCCUACGGGAGGCAGCAGUAGGGAAUCUUCCGCAAUGGACGAAAGUCUGACGGAGCAACGCCGCGUGAGUGACGAAGGUUUUCGGAUCGUAAAACUCUGUUGUGAGGGAAGAACAAGUACCAACUAACUACUGGUACCUUGACGGUACCUCACCAGAAAGCCACGGCUAACUACGUGCCAGCCGCCGCCGUAAUAC